rnacentral:lncRNA from 1 species
UGCAGCCGCCACGUCUCAGGUUAGGGGCUAGAGCUGAGAUCUCUGCUGUGAGUACACAGGCCACCGUGGAGGGAUGAACAUGUGGAAUUAAUAAAUGUGUUGAGCUAAGACUGUAAUUAGUGUGAUGACAUCACUCCUCAUAAUCAGCUUUUCUGCUGGAAAUGAAAACACACUUAUAUUCUGAACACCUGGAUGCUUGCUCAUACUCGCUCCAAAGACCCAAAGCAUCUGGCUGAGCCCUGGUGACCUGUACAUGGCUGCCUCUGGAUUUGACUAUGACAGGGACACCACUGGAUGUCUGGUGUUAUCCAUGCCGGAUUGACAGUGUGUGUCUGUCCUUCUAGCAUCUCCAUUUUCACUCUCCAUUUCUCUCUUCCCCUUUGAAUGUACUCCAAAUGCACUUCCUGCCCAAAUGGUAUCUUUAGAAGGAAGACUCUAACCUCCACUUUUCAUGUCAUCGGUGGUGUACUUCCAUCCAUCCUGAAGACUUUGAGAUAUUGGUGUAAUUCUUGCCACUGUUGGGGAUUUCCAUUGUUCUUGAUCCCAUCUUCUUGAACAUCCUCCUUCUGUCCAAUCCACUCCAUUCUUAUACAAAGACAAGAGGACAUUGGAAAGACACCAAAGCACACGGCCAAGUGAGCACAUAGUGAGAGGUGGCCAUCUGCAAACCGGCGUGUGAGCCCCAGGAGAAGCUGCACCAGCUGAUACCUUGAUCAGAGCUGUAAGGGAAUAAAUUUCAGUUGUUUAAGCAAC